GUAGCACCUCAACCAACAUCUGACACCGCAUUGAAUUAUGCAAAAGGACUGUGGGGUUUUCUCCUCUUGCUCACCCUUAUAAGUUCUCAAGUGUAAAACAGGACAUCUUCCUCCAGUUCAGCUUCAACACAAACCAUGUUCUCUGUAGCUGUACUGCUGCUGCUCCUGGCUGCUGGCUCUGGUGUGAACUGUGAACAGCUUACUCAGCCCGAGUCUCUGACUGUCCGACCUGGUCAACCUCUGACCAUCCGCUGUCAGGUCUCUUAUUCUCUUAGUUAUUGGACAGCUUGGAUCAGGCAACCUGAAGGACAUGCACUGGAAUGGAUUGGACAUAUUGAUUCUUCAAGCAAAAGAGUGAAAGACUCUCUUGGUAGUAAAUUCAGUCUUGCCGUUGACGGCUCCAGUAACACAGUUAUUCUGCAAGGACAAAACAUGCAGCCUGGAGACUCAGCUGUGUAUUACUGUGCCAGAGAGACACAGCAUUACAAACUGUUGUCAAGGAUGAACAAAAACCCUUCACCGUGAGGUGUUAUUACUUGAAUCCUCCAGAGGGGGAGCUCUAAACCAAACACAUCAUUCAAAAUAGAUUAUUUCACUCAUGAAAAUCAGCUGAUAAAUAGAGGGGGAGAUGUAUGCCAAGCUGUCUGGAACAUUUAAAGGAGACUAUUAUUAUGGUAUUUUCCCAACAAGUAAACAUAGAAUUUGAGUUCCAGAAAUCAUGUUUUUGAAGCUGUUUGCUGGAAAUAGCUUUUAGGAAAAAAAUAAAUUGUCUACCGCUAUUCCCCUCUGUUUCAGUCCCUUCAGAAUGCGCCGUUUCUGGUGUAUGUAGCAUUGAUGCAAAUGAGAUGCUGCCCAUUGACCAAUGAGCUGUCAGACUGAACCACAGCAUGGAGGAGAAGGGAUUGUUGCCCUUUGCUGACUC